rnacentral:lncRNA from 10 species
AACAACUUGUAGAAGUGUUGUUUUAUGUGGUUUCAACAGAAAAAUUACAGCAGAAUCACCAUAAUUCACAGUUUCAAAAGAGGCACAGCAAGAAAUAAGACAGAUGGAGGCUCUCUCUCUGUGCAACUGGGGGUGUGGUGAUGCAAAUAUCCUUCUGGCCACCGCCACUGGGGCCGUGCUGGGUCAGACCUGAAGGCAGCACAGCACUGGAUUUCACCUGAGGCCCUCUAUAAUCACUACCCGGCUGCCACCUAUGUUCACUCAAGACCCUAUGUUCAUUCAACGGCUCUAUAAUCAGCAGAUGGCAAAUCCAGCCAGGUUCAUGUGCUUCCCUUCAGGAUGGACAGCAUGGCAGGACUUAACUGCAGACCAAUAUUUUC